rnacentral:rRNA from 1 species
GACGGAGGGUGCAAGCGUUGCUCGGAAUCACUGGGCGUAAAGGGUGCGUAGGCGGCUGCGCAAGUCUGGCGUGAAAGCCCCGGGCUCAGCCCGGGAAGGGCGCUCGAAACGGCGCGGCUAGAGUGCCGGAGGGGAGAGUGGAAUUCCUGGUGCAGCGGUGAAAUGCGUAGAUAUCAGGAGGAACACCGGUGGCGAAAGCGACUCUCUGGACGGCAACUGACGCUGAGGCACGAAAGCGUGGGGAGCAAACAGG